AGAUGGCGCUGGUAUCUGGAGCUGAGGCUUCUUGGCGACCUUUACUCCAGCGAGGUUAGGUACAUAGCUUCGUUUCUGAAGGGCGAUUGAGGAUUAGGAUCAGAUUCCUCAGCGUCGUGGGGGCAAAUAUCAGUGUCCUCCAGCCGCCUAGACGACCACUCGAGAAGAGAUAGUCCACGCUUUACGAGAACAGUGAACAUCGCAGAGAUCCUGCCCCGAUCUCGGGGUAACCGAGUUGCGAGUAGAGAAGGAGAACCGGAGGUUUUUCGACCGGGUUCCUGCAUACGUGAAGUGGGAAUGAUAAUGGUAUCUGGCGCUAUAUCUGUCAAAGGAAAGAAGCAGAAGGGGUUUAUUUGAGGCACUACAACGUGGUAGGUUCACCCUCAGCCUUUGGUCUUGUUUAAUCACUCAACAAUUUUGUAAAGGUCUUGUCACCCCAUACUUUACAGAUAGAAAAGCGCCCAGUAUAUUGUUAUUCAGGGCCGUGAGAUCGAAGCCAGUGCCUGGUAUUUUUGAAGAUUCUAGCAAAUUUUGUGGUUGUCCUCCCUCUAAAUUUUGCCCUUAUGGUAAUAUAGGAUGCGGUAGAAAUGCUUAAGUCAAAAGGAGUUUUUAUUAUGGAUUCUGCUAUUUCCAUUCCUUCUCAAAAAAUAGAGUUGCGGCUGAGCAAGCAGCUGA
rnacentral:lncRNA from 1 species